CCAUCUUCUCACAUUGCACUCAGAUGUGCUCAACCAUCUUCUCACAUACUCUCCCCUCUCCGUCAAGGUCGAGCGGAUAUGGUCCGGAUCCAAGAACGCUCGAUACUCCGACCGCUUAACUCUCUCAAUCCCCUUCUGCCUUGACUAUAUCAAAUAUGAGAAUAAUCGAAGACCCCCGUAUUUGAGUUAUUAUCGUUCUUUUUUUUUUUUUUUUUUUUUUGGCCCUAAUUGGAAUCGGAUUCCUUUCAGGGUAUGUAAUCUACAAUGCGCUCCACAGCGUCGGAUGUCGUCUUUUCACUCCACCCUACUUCCGCGCUCUCAUUGUCCAACCCGCACCCCUCCGCUCUUCACUCUCCCUCUUUUGUUAGAGUUCCUGCGAUCCGCUCCUUCGGCUAAGCGCAAGAUGGCCAACCCUUCCUCCUCUUCUUGCCAAUCGCGUCUUGGUUUCUACAGAUUUGGGCAUCGGAUGUGCUGUUCUACGAGUCGUUUGAUGAACCUUUUGAUGGUCGAUGGAUCGUCUCAAGGAAGGGGGACUAUGGAGAACGAGUGAAUGAACCAGUAAAAGCUCGAAAAAUCCACGUCGUCAGAGAAAUGAAGAUCCAGAGAAAUAUAAUGACGACAAGCAAAGAUCGACAAGAUCCAACGACAGCAACCGUGAGAGUAAACCUGCUGAAAGAGCUGUGAGAAAUCCUACAUCAGACAGGAGGUUGGCAUCGGAAGGUACUCCUGGAAGAAUUAGAUCAAAGGCCAAUACAACAGAAAGAUAUUCUUUAGAACUUUAUUAUGCAGUUGCAUGUUCCAGCUCUUGGUUCAACAUUCACAUCUGAUGUACAUGUCGGAGAAUUGGAAACCCGACUAGAUGUUGAUUUUGCAUCUUCAAGAGACUCUACCAGGUCGUUAAGCCAUAUUUGGAACUUCAGCCUUUCAGAUCUAACAACCGACUGCGAAAACUUAGAUCUUGGAGCAAUUGGCGGCUACAGUGGCUCCCUAUUCCUUUCAUUUGGUUCAGAUCUCUUGCUCGAUUUGCCAGUUGAGGAUGAUGUAGUUGAGUAUUUUGCUGAUCAAAUAAGUGGCUCGAGCUUGCAGUCAGGUGAAGAUAAAGCAUAUAUAAACAGGGCUGAGGAAACAAAUUAGUGGACCUCCAGUAAUAGUUCAUACAAUUUCAUUGCCUUUUCCAUAAUCAGAGAGCUUAAACUGCAACUAUGUUCUACUGUUAGAGAUUUAGUUAGUGCAGGACAAAAAAAUCAACUGAAAUACCCUAAACUUGUAAGAUUUCACUGUCAACCUCUUCAUCGAUAAGUCAUGUUCAAACAUUGUGCAAGGCUUGCAAAUGACUGGCAUGAUUUCCAAUUUGGAAGUGAAAAACCAGUUAUGCUAAUGGUGCUUAUCUGGAUGGCAGCCUUCUCAUGAUGAUGUAGCAGUGCCACCUUUUGCUGAGUGGGAUGAGAAUGAUCUAGUGUCCAGUGAGAAGUACACUGGCAUCUUCAAGUUGAUAGCUGAAAAUAAUCAAAGAACUCCAGGAACCCCGUAUCAGCCACCGGAGCCAAACAUUUAACCGGAAACUACUACAGAAGCUCAGGUAAUCACCACAUCAUAUUUCCUUAACAAGUUGCUACAGAGACUAGUUUACAAUCAUAUUUGUAGUAGAGACUACGAUCUUUACAAUGAGAAAUCUCAAAUGCAGCAGCUAGAUGUGCUGCAGUAAUAGUUGCAUUUGACUAGUAGUUGCUGCACAUCGUAACUGUCCUGAUUGUAGGAGGAAUCAGGCUUACAGAGGCUUCACUUUCUGCAAUUGAAGCUUUAUGAACUCUACCAUUUAACCGCAAUGGUUUUCCUGCUUAACUUCUUUGCUUCCUCAUAUUUUUCCCAAUUUUUUGCUUCCGUUACAAUAGUAGGCACUCAUAUUAACCGGAACUAAAGUUGUGUUUGCGGAAGAUAUAUCCAAGAUAAAAUUAUAGUGGAAGAAAUGAUUCAUAGAAUCUACCUCCAAAAAUUUUGAGAUCUGCCUUGGCUAUUUUUUUUAAAUGUUGCUAUUAUUGGUUUCUAGUUGCUGAUCAGUCAUGUAAAUUUGUUGUUUAUGAAAAAAAAAGUUGCAGUUUCUUAGAUAUUUUAUUCUUUUUACUGAAUUUUGCUUCUGUAAAAUGCUUUACCACAUACACCAUAUUUUUCUCUUCCAUUUACUUCUUCCAGAGUUUACUCUUAACUUACUGCUUGCAUUACUAAUCCUUUCUUAACCUUCAUUGAUGGUUUUUUUUUUUAUUUGAAAUUACCAUAGCUCAUUCUCAUAAAUGGGAUAAUCUAGUGACUUUGUUUUCAUGCAUUUUUUACCUUUUCUAUAUGUUGUUAAUAAUAGAUGACAAUCUGAGAGAUAACACUUUAUUUUUGGUAACUCCAGUUGUUAUUGUAUAGGGGAUUGAAGUAUGUAUGGUUCCAUCUGUUGAUAGGGUAAGUUCCAAUAGAAAUUAUACUUAUUGUUUGUUUUGUGAAUAAUUCAAGUAUAUGAAUGCUAAACCUCUAAUUCUUCAUACUGCAUUAAACACUCAUAUAGCCAGAGGAAGUAAAAUUUUCUGUACGCUUAAUUGAUACGGACAUAAACAAGUUAGUUACAUCAUGCAAUUGGAAACAUCAGCAGAAGAUGUUUCAAAUGUGUAGAUCAAAUCAGUUGUCUUAUAACAGAUUAUUUCAAAUGUGCAGAUCAAAGAAGCUGAGCAAACAAGUAAAAAUUACCAACAAAAGAUUACUUAUCUCAUUUUCAAUCUCUAUUUGAGUAAUUUAUAGUAUCUUUAAUUUCCCUUAUGUAAGCAACAAGCUGCUUUAUAUCCAUAUUGACUAUUUUAUUCUAUUCAGGUAAGAGAACUGGAUAAUUAAUUAAAUGGUGAGAGGACAACCAAGAAGGACAACCAAGAAGAAUAUUUGUAUACUAUCUAUUACCUUUUGAUGUUGUAAGAAGAAUAGUUAUGUGUAAUUUGUGAAUA